GGGGGCGUGGCGAAAUUGGUAGAUGCACUGGAUUUAGGUUCCAGCGCCGCAAGGUGUAAGAGUUCGAGUCUCUUCGCCCCCACCA
rnacentral:tRNA from 1 species